GAUGAACGCUGGCGGCGUGCCUAAUACAUGCAAGUCGAACGCUGAAGGAGGAGCUUGCUCUUCUGGAUGAGUUGCGAACGGGUGAGUAACGCGUAGGUAACCUGCCUGGUAGCGGGGGAUAACUAUUGGAAACGAUAGCUAAUACCGCAUGACAACAGUUAUUGCAUGAUAACUGUUUAAAAGGGGCAACUGCUCCACUACCAGAUGGACCUGCGUUGUAUUAGCUAGUUGGUGAGGUAACGGCUCACCAAGGCGACGAUACAUAGCCGACCUGAGAGGGUGAUCGGCCACACUGGGACUGAGACACGGCCCAGACUCCUACGGGAGGCAGCAGUAGGGAAUCUUCGGCAAUGGACGGAAGUCUGACCGAGCAACGCCGCGGGAGUGAAGAAGGGUUUCGGAUCGUAAAGCUCUGUUGUAAGAGAAGAACGAGUGUGAGAGUGGAAAGUUCACACUGUGACGGUAUCUUACCAGAAAGGGACGGCUAACUACGUG
rnacentral:rRNA from 1 species